GAGUUUGAUCAUGGCUCAGGAUGAACGCUAGCGGCAGGCCUAACACAUGCAAGUCGAGGGAGGAGCCUUCGGGCUUCGACCGGCGUACGGGUGCGUAACGCGUAUACAAUCUGCCUUUCACAUAGGGAUAGCCCGAAGAAAUUUGGAUUAAUACCUAAUGGUAUAUAGGAGUGGCAUCACCUUUAUAUUAAAGCUGAGGCGGUGAAAGAUGAGUAUGCGUUCUAUUAGCUAGUUGGAGAGGUAACGGCUCCCCAAGGCGACGAUAGAUAGGGGUUCUGAGAGGGAUAUCCCCCACACUGGUACUGAGAUACGGACCAGACUCCUACGGGAGGCAGCAGUGAGGAAUAUUGGACAAUGGUCGGAAGACUGAUCCAGCCAUGCCGCGUGCAGGAAGACGGCCUUAUGGGUUGUAAACUGCUUUUGCAGGGGAAGAAUAAGGAGUACGUGUACUUUGAUGACGGUACUCUGCGAAUAAGCAUCGGCUAACUCCGUGCCAGCAGCCGCGGUAAUACGUAGGGUGCGAGCGUUAAUCGGAAUUACUGGGCGUAAAGCGGGCGCAGACGGUUACUUAAGCAGGAUGUGAAAUCCCCGGGCUCAACCUGGGAACUGCGUUCUGAACUGGGUGACUAGAGUGUGUCAGAGGGAGGUAGAAUUCCACGUGUAGCAGUGAAAUGCGUAGAGAUGUGGAGGAAUACCGAUGGCGAAGGCAGCCUCCUGGGAUAACACUGACGUUCAUGCCCGAAAGCGUGGGUAGCAAACAGGAUUAGAUACCCUGGUAGUCCACGCCCUAAACGAUGUCGAUUAGCUGUUGGGCAGCAUGACUGCUUAGUAGCGAAGCUAACGCGUGAAAUCGACCGCCUGGGGAGUACGGUCGCAAGAUUAAAACUCAAAGGAAUUGGCGGGGACCCGCACAAGCGGUGGAUGAUGUGGAUUAAUUCGAUGCAACGCGAAGAACCUUACCUGGUCUUGACAUGUACGGAACCCUCCAGAGACGGAGGGGUGCCUUCGGGAGCCGUAACACAGGUGCUGCAUGGCUGUCGUCAGCUCGUGUCGUGAGAUGUUGGGUUAAGUCCCGCAACGAGCGCAACCCUUGUCAUUAGUUGCCAUCAUUAAGUUGGGCACUCUAAUGAGACUGCCGGUGACAAGCCGGAGGAAGGUGGGGAUGACGUCAAGUCCUCAUGGCCCUUAUGACCAGGGCUUCACACGUCAUACAAUGGUCGGUACAGAGGGUAGCCAAGCCGCGAGGUGGAGCCAAUCUCACAAAACCAAUCGUAGUCCGGAUUGCACUCUGCAACUCGAGUGCAUGAAGUCGGAAUCGCUAGUAAUCGCAGGUCAGCAUACUGCGGUGAAUACGUUCCCGGGUCUUGUACACACCGCCCGUC
rnacentral:rRNA from 1 species